CAUUACCCUGCUAAAUACUGGGUCUGGAUUUAAAACACACACACACACACACACACACACACACACACACACACAAAGUAAGCAAGAGGCAAGGUUUCGGCAGAGUAAAUUGUCAUGUGUGAGACUGUGAUUAAGAUGUUUGCCAGCACACUCAGCCUCAAUGACACUUCAAGUGAUUUUCCACCAGCAUUCAUCCAUCACUGAGAAAAGCAUUCCAGGAAGGAAGCACUUGAAUGGAGUUCAUGUCCGUGGCAGACUGUAGCAGAUGAUGGCUUCAUAGACUCUUGUGUCUUCCCAGGACUCUCUUGUAAAGUGAAUUUCUCUUCCUACUGAACACAGUGGAAUGUCUGACUUGAACCUAACCUGCCAAAGCAAAAAAGAGUAUAUGUGGAACUGAAUAAAGUUAUGGUCUCUAAGAGCCACCAGGGACCCAGAGGUAGUGCGUCCUUUGAGGAGAGCUGGAUGCCUGUCAUGUACUUCAGAGCAGGCUGGGAAGCACCCAGGGUGUCUUUUUCUUAUUAUGGACAUGGUUUUCCUCACUCUGGUUCUACAAGUAGAUGCCACAAUAAAACUGCCUCUGGACACUUCACACUCAAGCUGACGUGACCCUCUAACCACAGAAUUACCAAGUCAAAUGGACUGUGGCCCGCUUUGUAAAGCCUUCCACCUCCAUAAUUCAAUCAAAGAUAUCAGUAAAUGGAGUGAAAGUCUGCUCAUGGGAAAGAGCAACAGAAAUGUGGG